ensembl:snRNA U6 U6 spliceosomal RNA
AUGCUCGCUUGGACAGCACAUAUACUAAAAUUGGAGCAAUACAGAGAAGAUUAGCAUGGCACCUGCACAAGGAGGACAUGCAAAUUCUUGAAACGUUACAUAUUCCA